UCCACUCUCUCUUAAGGUUGCAAAGAGAAGGUAGAGAGAGAGAGACAGAAAAUGAGACUUGCAUCGACAACUUCCCAUCCCUGAAAUCAAAGCUUCUUCUUAGGGUUCUUAUCCUGCUACUUGGCUCACCACUGUGAUGAAGCUGGGGAAAACAAACAAGCCCUUGUCAAAUUGGGAGAAAGGCUUCAAUCUCCGCUAGUGAAGAUAGAAUUGAUGACGAAGACGAUGAUACAGAUAAUUUUGAAGAGUAUCUCGAGGGAAUGUUUCCUUGAUGCUUGCCAGUCGAGGGCCGUCAUAUCUGGAGUUCAGUACAAGAGAAGGAGAUGCGUUCAGUGUCAUUGCAAAGCCUAUUGAACAAAUAAACAGUGUCCUCCUUUGUCAACUCGGUGUAUAUAAUUUGUUUGUGAAUGAGAGAGUCUAAAUCUUUGGUAGACUUGAUAAGAUGGUUGAAAAGCAUGACAUAAGACAAAAUGCAACAUUCAUGGUGCCUCACUGAACACUGUGAAGACGGAUUCUGUGUUGACUUGAAUUAUCAUAUGUGGAAUUUCCAUCACACCA